rnacentral:rRNA from 1 species
UACGGGGGGGGCAAGCGUUGUUCGGAAUUACUGGGCGUAAAGGGCUCGUAGGCGGCCAACUAAGUCGGAUGUGAAAUCCCCAGGCUUAACCUGGGAACUGCAUCCGAUACUGGAUGGCUUGAAUCCGGGAGAGGGAUGCAGAAUUCCAGGUGUAGCGGUGAAAUGCGUAGAUAUCGGGAGGAACACCUGUGGCGAAAGCGGCGCACUGGACCACAUCUGACGCUGAGGCGCGAAAGCUAGGGGAGCAAACAGG